AUUGACCAAAAAAUUUAAAACUGACCAAAACAUCAUUUGAGGUGUCGGAUGGGAGGGUCCAGUGGGCGUCGUAGCGGAUACCAAUGGAUAAAUACGGAUUACUGUGACACUGUACUAUUGAAGAUAUUGUGAACAUUUAUGGAUAAUUGUGAACAUUAAUGGUUACAACGAACACUUAUGGAUUAUUAUGAACAUUGUGGAUAAAAUGUACCUCGCCAUCGACGGUUACCUACCAAUGUACCUUGACAACGAUAGCUACACAACAGCAACAAGAUGACUGCCUCAAGGUUAGAAGGUUUAGUCUGAUAACAAGCAGUUGUUAGCUUGUUAUCAGGCAGUAGUUAGCCUGCUAUCAGCAGAAGUUAGCCUGCUAACAGGCAGUAUAUCUGUAGGAUUUAUACCCAGGACUCUAAUUUGCAUGUGGUCGGUGGAGUCUCUGGGUUAACCGGUUUAAAAUUCCUGGCGGUCUGUCGUUGGUAGUACAUCUGCACGCAAGGUUGAUUUUUAUUCAGAUGUUUGCAUGCUAAUAAAAAUUGAGGUACAAUUUUGACCUCAGUUAAUCAGAAUUUCGACAUCAUCAGCAAUAGAAAAUCAAUCUUAAAGAGGUUAACAUUUGAGCUUUCGGUCACGUGGUUCGUUGCAUGCACUCGGUUCGGUUAUUGGUGGGUUUCAGUAAGUGUUACAAUCCAAAAGAUGGUCAAUAUCAGAAAUGUUGGCACUUCCUGGAGCAAUUUAUUUGCUUCAAAUACAAGACUACUACAUAAAGUGAAAAAGAGUGAACAUUAUUUUUUCACUCUAGUAACUCGUAGUGAGACCCACUAGGUAUUUGCGGUCUGUUCGUGCCAAUGUUGUUCUCUUUGUGUAAAUGUACUGCUUAGGUGUGUCUGUGCAUGAUCAACGCAGCGCGCAGCUAGGUAUCCAGAAUAUAGGCAGACAAGUAAAACCUUGCCAUACUUAAAAAUUUUGUUUAUAUCGAUAUGUUAUGUUCAUAAAUGUACAGAAAUAUCAUGAAAUGUGUUAGGCUUUGGCUUGGGGUUAAAUCUAACCCUAUAACCUUAACCUUAAUCCAUUACAUGAUCUGUAUAUUUGUGAACGUAAUAUAUGGGUGUUGCCAAAAUUUUGUUGAAAAGCUGGCAUAGUUUUCCUUCGGUAGGAUAACUAAACUGGGUGCAAAUGGUAUCCAUAGCUUAGAGGGUGCAAAUGGUACCCGUAAGAAGAUUGGUGGAUAUCGUUGUGGACAAGAUUUACCGGGUACUCCGGUUUCCAACUACAAAAAGAUCAGCUUAGGACUGUAAUGACAUAAUUAUUGUAAUGAUAAACAGUCUAGGCUUUCGUGAAUAAUAAAUUGCGUUAAAUUGUCGUGGUAAGGUGUAUCUUUCAUCGCCCGUAGUGCAUGUAUAUCGCUGGUUUCGAACGUUAGUUUUCUGCCCCGGGUUAUAUGAAAACAAUUCGCUACCAGAGAUUAGGUCCCCUCUCUGUUACGGCGGCUCAACGACUUCAUGGAAGACAUUAACAUAAGGCAUGCUAAUCUUACCCCUGUUUGUGGACGCUCACCAGGUGCGAUGGCACACUAGGUUAAGUUAAGCUAGGGGCAUGACCGAGACUACACAUUCAGGGGUUUCCCUUGCAGGUGUUUGAAAGAUUAUAUGCGCGCGCACUAGUUAGAAAGGUUAGGCAGCUAGAAAUCAGGCGCAUUUGCUUCAAUGGCAUGUAUACUAUAAGGCAUGUAUACUAUAUAAUUCAUUAUUAUAAUGAUUUUGCGCCAGUAACUUUCUGCAAAGUAUUUAACACACAGGAAAAUGAAAUCUGUUUUCCUGCUGAAAAAUACUUACAGAGCCAAAUCAAAGUGGAAAAAAAGAAAAUAUUGCGAAAGAAAAAAAGAAAACCGCGAAACCACUUUGAAUAUAAGCCACAAUAGUCCAAGAAUACUCGUUGCAGAAAAAAACAACAAAAAAGAAACAAUUUUCUGCCCAAAAUAUCUUGGAUUACGGGCUUAACGAUAAGAAACGUAGUUCUCACUCCAAAGUGGAGAAUAGGCUCGUUUCUUUAGGUUGCUAAUGCAUUGCGCGCGCGCUUUAAAAAUUGUACUAUAAGUUUAAAGUUGAAAAGACCGCCAGGGAAAAUAGAGUGUUUUCGUGUGUUGCUUUGUUGACGGACAAGUAUUUUAAAAUGAUGGUUUACUUGUAUUUCGGCACUUAACUUGUUCCAAAACAUAGCCGCCGUGAAAAGACUCUGCAGAUCAAGUUUAUAUAUCGUCGCAAUAGCAAUAUAGAAUGUUUGCCAUGUUGCAUUCCGUGUUGUCUUGCAUUGUUCAUACAUAAGCUUGGUCGAACCAUGGAUCAUAAAACACCAUGGUUGCGCGCAGCUAAUUAACAUAAGCGGCGCGCGCGUGCUGCUGUAAUGCGGAGUACAGUCGGUGAGUGUACUCCAUGUGCAAAUAGUGACGUGUGCUCUAUAUAGUCUAAAAUUGAAAAAAAAUUAAGGUGCAUGUUGAUCAGAAUAAAGUGCGCAAAGUUUCAUGCAUAUUAAAAUUAAAUGCGCCCAGUUGCAUGCUAAGUAAAACUAAGGGCAUGAAAACCAGUGCAUGCUUAAUUUAAAUUGAGUGCGCGCGUUGCAAUUUUCGUGCGCGCAUGCAAUAAAAGCAAAAUGCGCCAUAAAUGUAAAUAUAGAAAUGCACCCAUCACAUCUUCAAAAUGCAUCCAAGUGUCCUAACAGCUUUUACAAACUAUCUUAAAAUAUGUUGGGCCAUUGGAUUCAUUUGCCACGCACCUUGUCCUGAACAUAUCUGAAAUAUUUUCAGGUUUCAAGGUUCAGAUAAAUAUACCCUUAUGUGGAACAAUUUGUUCAUAAAAAGAGAUAUAUUUGUCUUGCGCAAUCUGUAGACCGAAUUUUCGGGUGGUCUACAAUUUUUUUUGAACAUCUCGUGAGAUUUUUUGUUAAAUUCGUUGAUUUUGUUAAAUUAAAAUUUAUUAGUUAGAUGAUGUACAAAUAGGUAUGAUGUAAAUAGAUGUAGAUUAGUAAGAUUUUAUAUUUAAUGAAUGAUGUAAAUAAAUAGAAUAUAUAUGCUUUUUAUAUCAUUAUAUUGUAAACACAUUGUAAAUUAUGUGUCAAUAACCAUUACCAUUUUUUUUGUAAGAUUUUUUACUUUUCUGGGUUUUGGUAUCGCCCCCAGGGUUUUUCAGCAUCCGGACUCGUAAUCGCCAAGGUUUUUCACCAGAUCUUGCCAUCGACAGCUAGCUGUCCAUGGCACCUCUGGUUUUCCUCGGGCGAUUAUGUAUUUUUCGUUUGGCAAAAUAUUUAAAAAUUCCAAAACAAAAAACAGUGUCCGUGUUUGGGACGAAUUCAGUACUGUGCAGAAAAAAUGGAUUAUAUAGCCGUUGAGGUGCAUGUCUCUUU
rnacentral:lncRNA from 1 species